rnacentral:rRNA from 1 species
AUACGUAGGGGGCGAGCGUUGUCCGGAAUGAUUGGGCGUAAAGGGCGCGUAGGCGGCCCGGUAAGUCUGGAGUGAAAGUCCUGUUUUUAAGAUGGGAAUUGCUUUGGAUACUGUCGGGCUUGAGUGCAGGAUAGGUAAGUGGAAUUCCCAGUGUAGCGGUGAAAUGCGUAGAGAUUGGGAGGAACACCAGUGGCGAAGGCGACUUACUGGACUGUAACUGACGCUGAGGCGCGAAAGUGUGGGGAGCAAACAGGAUUAGAUUCCCUGGUAGUCCACGCCGUAAACGAUGAAUACUAGGUGUCGGGUUUCUAUAGAGAUUCGGUGCCGCAGCAAACGCAUUAAGCACUCCGCCUGGGGAGUACGUACGCAAGUAUGAAACUCAAAGGAAUUGACGGG